UACGUAGGGGGCUAGCGUUGUCCGGAAUCAUUGGGCGUAAAGCGCGUGUAGGCGGCCUGGUAAGUCCGCUGUGAAAGUCGGGGGCUCAACCCUCGAUGCCGGUGGAUACUGUCGGGCUCGAGAGCGGAAGAGGCGAGUGGAAUUCCUGGUGUAGCGGUGAAAUGCGCAGAUAUCAGGAGGAACACCUGUGGUGUAGACAGCUUACUGGACCACUUCUGACGCUGAGACACGAAAGCGUGGGUAGCAAACAGG
rnacentral:rRNA from 1 species